rnacentral:lncRNA from 1 species
CCUCAGGCUGGAAGAACCAUUCAGGUGCAGGAGACCCAAACUGCAGCCUCUCAAAAUUGUGAGCUAAAACAAUGUUUUCCUUUUCUUUUUUUCUUUUUGUUGUUGUUCUGAGCCAUUUGGUGUUGAAGUGUUUUGUUAUGUAGCAAAAGUUAACUGCCACAGAUAUUUUCCCAAGGGUUCUUCUAGAGUCUAGUACCGCUGGUGAGAUCAUGAGUGUUGGGAUUUUAGGGAUAGUUUUCUGGCUAGCCAUGUGUAAUUUGGGUAAUCUGGGCUAGGAGGUGGGGUCUAUUGCCAGCCAUGCUCUGUGGCCCCUGGGAGUAUAGGCUUUGGGGUCAAACUGACCUUGAUUCAAAUCAUGGCAAGGCGUCACUGUGGAGAAACAACUGUAAUCACACCAAAAUCCCAAUGGCUUCACACCCUAAAGAUAUAUUUCUAUUUUAUGUCACAGCCCACCCAUAUAUUUAUAUAUUUGUUGUCCCAUACCUCUGUGCUAAUCUACAGAUCUGGCUGGGGGCUGGCUAGUCUAAGAGGACUUAGCUAGUUGGCUUGUUCCACUCCAUGUGGUAUCUCGCCCUCCAGCUGGCCAGCUUGCGUUUGAUCACACUUGUAUAUAGAGAUUCAGGGAUCCAUGCUCCUUCCAUCUAUUGUGUUCUCUGAGUCCUCCACUGGAUUCUCUGUCUCCAGCCAGGAGACAUGGAGAAUCUGAUAGGACUUAUUUUAGCUGCUUAGGUUGGAAAUGUCAAGAAUCACUUCUUGCUUCAUUCCACUGGCUAGAACGAGUGGCAUGUCCCCACCUAGAUGCAAGGGGACUGGGAACAUGAGCCACCAGUUUACCAAGGAAAGAAAGAAGACAGAUAUUGGUGAGAUCCAGAAGUCUGUCCUAGGCAGCAAUUCACUAACUAGGUACUCAGGCAAGUUAUUUGACUUUUCUGGUAGUCAAAUUAUCCCAUGUGGGUUGUGCAAUCUAUGCAGAAGUGGCCUCAGUCCAGUAUAGGUCUUUUCAUUCUGAUCUGUGUCCAUGCACACUGGGAACUGAGGCCGUUUAGUGUCACAUCACUAUGCUGUUGUUUUUCAGAGCCAGGCUCUAUCUGGCAUACCAAGGACAGGGCUGUGGGAAUGGUCUACCCUGAAUGUAGGUGAUGAGUGGGUGUAUUUUCUAUAGAGACACUUUUAAAAUUAUAAAGCUAAUUGAAAGCUGGUCUGUUUUUUAUUAUCAUCAUAUGCCAGCAAAUAAUAGUAAAACACUCCUUCUUAAAAGAAAAAUUGAUAUGUAAGGGCUAAACAAUUACUAUGCUACUAUUGAGAUUGAAUGAUAUUAUCAUUAGCUAGAAUUGGCCCCUAACCCAACAGUCCUUUGGUUUCGAGAGUACAUGAGAGAAGCAUUUGGACUUCAGAUUCAUUUGAGCAUAUUUUCAAAUGCUCUCUCUAGUCACUCUGUUUCACUGUUUUAAACAUUUUUUCCUUCUUUUUUGGCCACACCCACAGCAUAGGAAAGUUCCUGGGCCAAGGAUCUUACUGGAGCUGCAGGUGUGACCUACACCACAGAUGUGGCAAUGCCAGAUUCUUAACCCACUGUGCUGGCUGGGGAUCAAAUGCACACUACCACAGACAAUGCUGGAUCAUUAACUAACUGCACCCAGAAGGAAUUCCCACUGUUUUAAACUUUUAAGUACAAAUUAAAAAAAAACUACAAGUGGUCACAUAGAACAACAAAACUAAAGGAACUCAAGUUCUCAGCCAUCAUCUACACAAGCACUGUUUAUUUGUCAUGGCUUAAAGGCAGGAAUAUCCAGCACCACAGGUGUUGGAGACACAAGCUAUUCCCAAAGGGAGCUUGACUUAUGUCAAACCAUUUAUGAGCUUAUUGGGAGUUCACCAAGUUCAAUCCCAUAUAGAAUAUAGUACCUACUCAAAGGAUAAAUGUCUUAGUCAACUUGGGCUGUUAUUAAAAAAAAAAUACCACUGACUGGGUAGCUCAAACAACAGAUAUUUAUUUAUCAUAGUUUUGGAGGCUGGGAAUCCAAAGUGAAGAUGCUGGCCAGUUUGGUUUUUGGUAAGGGCUCUCUUCCUGGCUUGAAGAUGGCUGCCUUGCUGCUGUAUCCUCAUGUGGUAGAGAAACAAAGCUCUGAUGUCUAUACUUUUACUUAUAAGGGCACGAGUCCCAUCACGAAGGCUCUAUCUUCAUGCCAUCAUCUAAACCUCAUCACCUUUCCAAAGCCUCAACUUAUAAUAUUACAUUGGGGUUAGGUCUUCAAUAAAUAAGUUUGAGAUGGUACACAAACAUUCCGUCCGUAACAAUAAGUAGUGACAUUGUACUCCUUUGAAAAUAAUUUGGGGGGAAGUCAGAAAAUGAUCUGUUUUGGGUUCUCAUUUACUCACUUAGUUACUGGCUACUCCACAAAGAAGUGGUCUUUGGUAUCCUGUCCUUGCUAGCAAUCCAUUCUCCCCUGUGUUUCCUGGAUUCUCCUGGUGUAUUGGGAUCUUCAUAGGAAGCAGGGUGACUUGACAGGCCUGCAGAAUUCCAAGUCUCAGAUCUAGACAUUGAUUGUGGCCUGGACGGCCCUCUUCACUGGCUGGUGGGGUAAGGUUGUGUUGAAGCCAAGGGGGUCAAGUAUGGAAGCAGAUCAUCGGCUCCUGAAUCCCCACCCUUCUCUCUCUCUUAUCCUUAGCCUGCUGCUCAUUCUUUUCAUUUUUUUAAAUUAACCACUGGCUGCCUAUCACAUAGCCCUGUUCAAUUGUCCUCUUAUCCCAAUGAGUAAGUCCAAAUCUGGAUGGAUCUAUUCUUCCCACACACGACUCCUUUUCCAAGUGUCCCGCAUUCUUCCUUCUUGUUUUUGUUAUUGAUGGCACCAUUAUUCUCCCAGUUUCACUAAUCUUUGGCAUGUUUCUUAUUCAUUUUCUAUAGUUCACCAAGAUCUAUAAUCAAAUUCCUUCCUUUUCCAUCUACACUGGUUUGGACCUAGGUCAACUUGCAUCUAAGAUUGUGUCUCACUAACCCUAAUUUCUGCUGCCAAAUGAACCCUCCCACAUACCACUUUCAUCAUGUAACUGCUCCCCCAAGAGUUUGCAAUGGUUUUCUGCUGCUAUUGCAGCAAAACUACUUCCCCUGAGGCUUGAGGAGGCUGGAGCCAAUGACAAAGAGACUAAAAAAUUUUCAACUAAAUGUCCCAACUUUCAGUUAAAGAUGUUUUUCCCUAAUUCUAAAUUCUCUGAUUCUUCAGGGGCUAACAUAUGAGUGGGGCAAAGGAGACCCCAUUUUUCCUCCACACACAAGAACAGUGUGCUGCCAGAUAUAGGGGCUCAACAAAUAUUUCUUGAGUGGAGAAAAGAACUUUACAGAUAGUAUAUAAAAAUAUAACUCACUCAAAUAGAAUUUUUUCAUAUUCAUUCAUUGAUGAAUGACCACAUGUAGAGUCUACGUAGAGAGGGAGAAACUUGAUACGGAAGCCACAUCAUCCCAGCAGCCUAGUGAGCCUCCAGAUAAACCUGUGCCAAGCUGCCAUCUGACUGCAAGCACACCAGAGGCCCCAAAUGAAACCACCAGAAGAACUGCCCACUGAGCCUAGUCUACCUUUGGAAUCACGAAAGAUAAAGUCAUUGUUUUAAGCCAUUGAAUUGGGGUGGUUUGUUAUACAGCAGUAGAUAGCCAAAAAGACAUAUCCAUUCAUUGAAAUUUAUGUAUCCAUCCGUGUCUGAUACUGUGUUAGGUGAAGUGGAUGCAAAACUAAAUACUGCAUUGAUGCUGAACUCUUUUUAUAUGUUUGUUAAUGAAAAAUCUUUGUAAAUGGAAGUGUUUUCAUGUUUUGCUUUAAAGGUGAAAACAUUUCAGUAUAAAAUAUAUUUGUAGCAAGUCGUUUUGUAAAAAGGAAUAAUCACUGAGGUUGUUUGUAUUUUUAACUUUUUGAAGUGACAGUUUUUAGGUAGUGAAACACAUGAGAGCUUUUAUUUAUUUGUUUGUUUGUUUAUUUAUUUAUUUAUGUUUGCUUUUCUUUUUUUUUAGGGCCGCACCUGAGGCAUAUGGAAAUUCCCAGGCUAGGGGCUGAAUUGGAGCUGUAGCUGCUGGCCUAUGCCACAGCCACAGCAACUCAGGAUCUGAGCUGCUUCUGAAACCUACACCACAGCUCACAGCAGCACCAGAUCCCUGAUCCACUGAGAGAGGCCAGGGAUUGAACCGCAUUCCUCAUGGAUACUAGUCGGAUUCAUUUCCACCGUGCCACAAAGGGAACUCCCAGAGCUUUUAAUAAUAGAAUUUAAUUCAACAAAUAUUUCUGAGCACUUACUAUGUGCUUCCUCUCUAUAUUUUAAAAACCCACGUUGAGGAGUUCCUGUUGUGGCUCAGUGGUUAUAAACCCAACUAGUAUCCAUGAGAAUGCGGGUCUGAUACCUGCUCAGUGGGUUAAGGAUCUGGCAUUGCCAUGAGCUGUGGUAUCGGACCUGGUGUUGCUGUGGCUGUGGUGUAUAGGCCGGCAGCUGCAACACUGAUUUGACCUCUAGUCUGGGAACUUCCAUAUGCCAUGGGUGCAGCCCUUAAAAGCAAAAUAAAUAAAUAAAUAAAUAAAUAAACUAACAAACAAAAAAUUCUCAUUGAAAUUCAGGUGCUGUUUCCCACCUGCCAUCUAUUUGUUUUCAUGGGGCUUGUCCUAAGUUACUUGGGGGAAUUCUGUUUUUGUCUAUUAACACAUAUACGUGUUACUGUCACGCAUCCUCUAGCUCUUUUCUUAUUGCUUCAGUAAGAAUUAUAUUCAGUUGUUCAGUUUCUAAAUGGCUUAAUUAGCAGAACUUUCCAUGUUUUUUUUUUUCUUUAGAAUUCUCUCAGUCUUCAGUUAGUUGGACUCCCUUCUCAUUACUCUCUUUUCUUCCCUGAGUUUUACUCAACAUUCGGCUAAUGAGUUCACGAUCCUCUCUUGUCCCACCAUGGAUUGCAACCGAGGCAUUUGGAGGCUUCCUUGCCUUAAUUAUUGGGGGAAAAAAAUCCCUUCUUGGUCUUUUCUCCUUAGACUCUGCUGGCUCUGAGUUUCCAGCUCUUAUCUCUCACUGUCUUUGUUUUUUAUAGAAAUAAGAGACCGUAAAGCAGAGAGAAGCCAUGGAGAUCAUAUAAUUUUAUGGAUGAUCAAACUUUGGUCAGAGAGCCAAGUGACUUGCUCAAAGAACCAUAGUCAGUUAGUGGCAGAGCCCCGGCUAGAACCAAGAUGUCCAAACCAAGGAGUUCUGGCUUCAUUAAAGUAAUGAAUGCACUUUCAGACCAUGUUAAACUAAUGCAAACAGAGUAACUGAUACUUGAUCUAGCAGUUUUAUUUGCAAUUAAUUAAUGGGUUUUAAUUAAAUCUCGAUUCUCAGUCUCGGGCUACAACUGCACAAAAUAAAAGGAAAAAUAAAGAGAAGUACAGUGGGCUCAGAAGCUGUAAGGUGUACAGCAGCAGUUAAAAAUAUUUUUUUAGGAGUUCCCAUCGUGGCGCAGUGGUUAAUAAAUCCGACUAGGAACCAUGAGGUUGUGGGUUAGGUCCCUGCCCUUGCUCAUUGGGUUAAUGAUCUGGCGUUGCCGUGAGCUGUGGUGUAAGUUGCAGACGUGGCUCGGAUCCCGCGUUGCUGUGGCUCUGGCGUAGGCCGGUGGCUACAGCUCCGAUUCGACCCCUAGCCUGGGAACCUCCAUAUGCCGCGGAAGUGGCCCAAGAAAUUAAAAAAAAAAUUUUUUUUUUAUUGUUUAGGGUUUUGAUUAACACUUUGAGCCUCUCAUUAAUCUAUUCUAUAAAUAUUUAUUGACUAUUAUGUGCAUACCUGUAUGCACAUGUGUGCCCAUUAAACAUGCAUGCAAUUCCCUUCUUUUAAGGAGACACUGUGCAAUACAGUGUCAAUAUCCUCAUAAAUAUCUUUAUAAUUAACACAUGCAAGUUAAUGUCCGUAGCAAUGUAGCACUAAUUGGUUGCUUUUUUUUUUUUUUUUUGGAAAAUGGACACUUUGACUUCUUACAGAUAGUUUAUUUUCUUCAUUAUUCCCAUGUCUCCAAUUCUUAGGAGCAUCUGAUCCUUUUAUUUCAGAGUGGAGGACCUCAAACUCAAAUGCCUUCAAGAGCCAUGCAGUUAAAGUAAAUAAGUGAAGCAGGCUUGGUAUUACCCAGUUGGAAUCCUGGGGACUGUGGCAGCACUGAGACUACAACUACCAUUUCAGGGGUGCAGUGGCCCCUCCAUGUCAAGUGAUUUUUGUCAUGUGGGAAUUCAAGGGUCAAUAUUUCAAUUUCAAGAACUUUUUUUGGUCAUGCCUGUGGUAUAUGAAAGUUCCCAGGCCAGGGAUUGAACCAGUGCCACAGCAGUGACCCAAAUUGCUCUAGUGACAAUGCUGAAUCCUUAACCCACUGGGCCAAAAGAGACUUCCUAGAACAACUGUGUUUUAAAAAGGGGCUGGAAGUCUUUAUUUUUUAUGUGAAAUCUGUUGAUUUCUAAAAUUGGGGUGGUUAAUUAAAAAUAUUUAAAACCACCAGCCAAAUAAUAUGUGGUUUACUAAAUUCAAAUCCUGGGCAUAUAAUUUGUCCUACCACCACUAUAAGCCUUUUCCAUUGACAGAGACAAAUGGUAAAACCCAAGCCUUCCUAAGAAUUCUGGAAAUGAGGGAUUGGGGCAGUGGUUCUUACCCACUGACCUCUGAAGUGGUCAAACCCACCCAAUGAUUUGUCUGGUCAGUUGCACCUAAUGUCACUGAGAAAAUCUAAAUCACUUUCUAGAGGAAAUGAGUCGGAAAUAGUGUUGCUUUCGCAGAGGCCCAAAUAAGGGACUGUCUUGUUUUAUUAGUUUAAGAUGUAUUAAUUAUUCUAGAAAUUAAAAUGUAGUAUUGGGGAGUUCCCAUCAUGGCUCAGCGGAAACCUCAUAGGAACCAUGAAGUUGUGGGUUUCAUCCCUGGCCUUGCUCAGUGAGUUAAGGAUCUGGCGUUGCUGUGAGCUGUGGUAUAUAGGUUGUAGAUGUGGCUCAGAUCUGAUGUGGCUGUGGCUGUGGGGUAAACCCACAGAUGUAGCUCCAAUUGGACCCCUAGCCUUGGAACGUCCAUAUGCCUACAGGUACGGCCC